rnacentral:rRNA from 1 species
CCUACGGGAGGCUGCAGUGGGGAAUAUUGGACAAUGGGGGGAACCCUGAUCCAGCCAUGCCGCGUGUGUGAAGAAGGUCCUCGGGUUGUAAAGCACUUUCAGUGAGGAAGAACGCCUGGUGGUUAAUACCCAUCAGGAAAGACAUCACUCACAGAAGAAGCACCGGCUAACUCCGUGCCAGCAGCCGCGGUAAUACGGAUGGUGCGAGCGUUAAUCGGAAUUACUGGGCGUAAAGCGCGCGUAGGUGGCUUGAUAAGCCGGUUGUGAAAGCCCCGGGCUCAACCUGGGAACGGCAUCCGGAACUGUCAAGCUAGAGUGCAGGAGAGGAAGGUAGAAUUCCCGGUGUAGCGGUGAAAUGCGUAGAGAUCGGGAGGAAUACCAGUGGCGAAGGCGGCCUUCUGGACUGACACUGACACUGAGGUGCGAAAGCGUGGGUAGCAAACAGGAUUAGAUACCCGUGUAGUC